CUGGCUCAGGAUGAACGCUGGCGGCGUGCCUAAUACAUGCAAGUCGAGCGAACUUAACUAAAUGAAUGCGGUGCUUGCACCAAGUGAUUUUAGAGCGGUGAGCGGCGGAUGGGUGAGUAACACGUGGGUAACCUGCCUCUAAGCAGGGGAUAACAUUUGGAAACAGAUGCUAAUACCGUAUAAAUCCUAAAACCACAUGGUUUUAGGCUGAAAGGCGGCUUCGGCUGUCACUUAGAGAUGGACCCGCGGCGUAUUAGCUAGUUGGUGAGGUAAUGGCUCACCAAGGCAAUGAUACGUAGCCGAACUGAGAGGUUGAUCGGCCACAUUGGGACUGAGACACGGCCCAAACUCCUACGGGAGGCAGCAGUAGGGAAUCUUCCACAAUGGACGCAAGUCUGAUGGAGCAACGCCGCGUGAGUGAAGAAGGCUUUCGGGUCGUAAAACUCUGUUGUUGAAGAAGAACACGUUUGAGAGUAACUGUUCAGACGUUGACGGUAUUCAACCAGAAAGCCACGGCUAACUACGUGCCAGCAGCCGCGGUAAUACGUAGGUGGCAAGCGUUAUCCGGAUUUAUUGGGCGUAAAGCGAGCGCAGGCGGUUUUUUAAGUCUGAUGUGAAAGCCCUCGGCUUAACCGAGGAAGUGCAUCGGAAACUGGGAAACUUGAAUGCUGAAGAGGACAGUGGAACUCCAUGUGUAGCGGUGAAAUGCGUAGAUAUAUGGAAGAACACCAGUGG
rnacentral:rRNA from 1 species